rnacentral:rRNA from 1 species
AUGGCCACCGUGGCCACGGCGACCACGCCCGCUCCUCCUAUAAAGCCCCAGACGGGCACCCUAGGGUUUCCCUCUACCCUCUCCGUGCCGCCGCCGCCACCUAGUAGGUCCAAGCCACGCCACGCCACCAUAGCCAUCGCCCCCUUCCACCAGAGAGCUUCCGAAGCACUCCCAUGGCUCUGCCGCAGCCACAGCCUCCUCCGUCGUUGUCCUCGCUCAUGGUUGGCUCACCGAUGGCGUAUUCAUCGACUACAAGCAUGCCAGGAGCCAGAUGUUGACACGGGCGACGCGAUCGUCUUCUUCCACGACAUCCUCUUCUUCGUCUACUUCGUCUUCUUCACGGAGCAGAGAAACAUCAAGUUCAGCGAGCUCCCUCGUCGUCUCCGUCAUCUCUCCAUCCGAUCUGUCUUCGCAAGCACCCCCAUGGUGAGCAGCCGCUCCUCCAUGCCUCGUAACCCUAUUGGUUUCCUCGCCGUAUAUCAGUGUCCUUCUCGUGUCCGAAGACCAGUCGCCGCGCUCUCGUCAUGCGGAUGA